rnacentral:rRNA from 1 species
GAGUUUGAUCGUGGCUCAGAGUGAACGCUGGCGGUAGGCCUAACACAUGCAAGUCGAACGGUAACAGGUCUUUCGGGAUGCUGACGAGUGGCGGACGGGUGAGGAAUACAUCGGAAUCUGCUCAGUCGUGGGGGAUAACGCAUGGAAACGUGCGCUAAUACCGCAUACAACCUUCGGGUGAAAGCAGGGGAAUCUCUCGGGAUCCUUGCGCGAUUGAAUGAGCCGAUGUCGGAUUAGCUAGUUGGUAGGGUAAAAGCCUACCAAGGCCACGAUCCGUAGCUGGUCUGAGAGGAUGAUCAGCCACACUGGGACUGAGACACGGCCCAGACUCCUGCGGGAGGCAGCAGUGGGGAAUAUUGGACAAUGGGGGCAACCCUGAUCCAGCCAUACCGCGUGGGUGAGGAAGGCCUUCUGGGUUGUAAAGCCCUUCUGUUGGGGAAGAAAAACAACGGGUUAAUACCCCGUUGGUAUGACGGUACCCAAAGAAUAAGCACCGGCUAACUUCGUGCCAGCAGCCGCGGUAAUACGAAGGGUGCAAGCGUUACUCGGAAUUACUGGGCGUAAAGGGUGCGUAGGUGGUUGCGCCAGUCUGUCGUGAAAGCCCUGGGCUUAACCUGGGAAUGGCGAUGGAAACUGUGCAACUAGAGUGUGACAGAGGGUGGUGGAAUUCCUGGUGUAGCAGUGAAAUGCGUAGAGAUCAGGAGGAACAUUCGUGGCGAAGGCGGCCACCUGGGUCAACACUGACACUGAGGCACGAAAGCGUGGGGAGCAAACAGGAUUAGAUACCCUGGUAGUCCACGCCCUAAACGAUGCGAACUGGAUGUUGGGUCCAACUUGGGAUUCAGUAUCGAAGCUAACGCGUUAAGUUCGCCGCCUGGGGAGUACGGUCGCAAGACUGAAACUCAAAGGAAUUGACGGGGGCCCGCACAAGCGGUGGAGUAUGUGGUUUAAUUCGAUGCAACGCGCAGAACCUUACCUGGCCUUGACAUGCACGGAACCUUU